GAUGAACGCCGGCGGUGUGCCUAAUACAUGCAAGUCGAACGGAGCUUGCCUGUCAGAUCCUUUCGGGGUGACGACUUGUAAGCUUAGUGGCGAACGGGUGAGUAACACGUGAGUAACCUGCCCCAGAGUGGGGGACAACAGUUGGAAACGACUGCUAAUACCGCAUAAGCCCACAGAACCGCAUGGUUCUGGGGGAAAAGGAGCAAUUCGCUCUGGGAUGGACUCGCGUCCGAUUAGCUGGAUGGUGAGGUAACGGCCCACCAUGGCGACGAUCGGUAGCUGGACUGAGAGGUUGAUCGGCCACAUUGGGACUGAGACACGGCCCAG
rnacentral:rRNA from 1 species